GUCCAUGUAGCUUACAACAAA
rnacentral:tRNA from 29 species